UACGUAGGAGGCGAGCGUUGUCCGGAAUUACUGGGCGUAAAGGGCGCGUAGGCGGACGGCUUUGUCGGGCGUGAAAUUCCAGGGCUUAACCUUGGGGCUGCGUUCGAGACGGGUUGUCUAGAGUUUGGAAGAGGGUCGUGGAAUUCCCAGUGUAGAGGUGAAAUUCGUAGAUAUUGGGAAGAACACCGGUGGCGAAGGCGGCGACCUGGUCCUUGACUGACGCUGAGGCGCAGAAGAGCG
rnacentral:rRNA from 1 species